rnacentral:lncRNA from 1 species
CUCAUCCACACGUUGCAGAACUGAUCUACAAGUAGCAGUCUGUGAUGGAAAUGGUGCUGGACUUGGUGAAGCAGGACCGGAGCUUCUCCUCGGCUCUGCUAUGAAGUAGCUGACUGUGGUUCGGGGGAGGGAUACUCUGGGCUAUGCUUCCUAGGUCCACAGCCUGAGGGCUGACAUAAGAUGACCUCUGAGGUUCUGCACAACCCUGAGACUUAGAGCUUUUCUGACUUGUUUUUCAAGCAUGAAGGCUGCUACAGACAUUCUUCCCUUUUUCUCUGUGACUGGAACACAGACUAUCAUCCUAUUCAAGAAACGAGAGGAAACCCUCUAUUAGCUCAUCUGAACUCCUUUGCAAGCCUUUGAAGAGGUAACUCUGGGGCCCAGGAAAAUCCUACAUGUGACUACUGUAAAGAAGACAAUAAAGUGCAACCUGCCCUCCAGAAGUCCAAAUCAUGCUCUUGGGUGUGUCUUACUCAUUCCAAGCAUCUUUCUAUUAACCUGUCUAUUUAAAUCUGUGUUUAAACUCUCCUUUUAAUAAUAAACUCCAACUCUUCUCAUCCAGGCACUUCUUGAAUUCCUUUUUGACUUCAGAAGCAGGGAUCCAGCUUUGUAUAUACAAAGGUCCCUGGGCGAGAGAACUCUGAAUGCUGGCAGCUGUGCUGGGUAGGCAGUGUCUUCUACCACCCUUCUGCUGACUUAGGAAAAAUUGUAUUCUGGGUAACCAAAU